rnacentral:lncRNA from 1 species
GGUGGAAGUGGCGGACAUGGCUUCUUCGGAAUCACCACCGGUGGCACGUAGAUUGGUACCGGCGGAGGACACGGCUUCUUUGGGAUCACUGGUGGCACGUAGAUUGGUGGAUGCUCUAUCUUCGGUGGCGGCUUGUAGACCGGAACCGGUGGUGGAUCGACCUUCGGCGCUUUGGGCGGGCAUGGCUUCUUCGGGAUCACCGGUGGCACGUAGAUUGGUGGAUGCUCUAUCUUCGGUGGUGGCUUGUAAACCGGUACUGGUGGUGGAAGCUUGAUCUUUGGCGCUUUAGGCGGGCACGGCUUCUUUGGCGGCUUGUGGAUUGGUACCGGCGGUGGAAGGACUAUUUUCGGCGGCGGCUUGUGGACUGGAACCGGUGGCGGAUCAACUUUCUUUGGUGGCAUGGGCGGACAAGGCUUCUUAGUCGGUGGUUUGUGAACUGGCACUGGCGGUGGAAGCUCAAUCUUUGGCGACUUAGGCGGGCAUGGCUUCUUGGGGAUUGUUGGUGGCUUGUGUACUGGAACCGGAGGUGGGUGCUCUACCUUUGGAGGUGGCUUGUAAACCGGAACCGGAGGUGGGUGCUCUACCUUUGGAGGCGGCUUGUAAACCGGAACCGGAGGUGGGUGCUCUACCUUUGGAGGCGGCUUGUAAACCGGAACUGGAGGUGGGUGCUCUACCUUUGGAGGUGGCUUGUAAACCGGGACAGGUGGUGGAUGCUCCACCUUUGGAGGUGGCUCGUACACUGGAACCGGAGGUGGUGGGCAAGGUUUAGGAAACGGUGGAAGCUCCAAAGGUGGAGGUAGAGGGAAAGGGUGAUCAAAUCCCUUAAAAGGAGGGAACUUAGGCAUAGGCCAAAAGAAUUUGGAAACACAAAGUUCAGGUGAAAAUUUGAGAUUUUGUUUGAGACCCAAAACGUGUUUGUCUCCAGAUUUGUAUAGAAACACGAUCUGGUUGGACUCUAGGCCGUCAUGAGCCGGGCAAGGUGUUCC